rnacentral:tRNA from 1 species
AAUAAGAUAGGAUAAAUUUAGUCUGGAAGGUUCAUAUCCUUUGGGUGUUUUCUUGUUG